GUAGCGGACGUUGUAUGGUUCGGCCGUGCCGUCCCGGCUGAGCCGAGCGGGGCGGUGUCACUGCGGCCUCCCCCGGGGCUGCUGCCCAUGCACCCAAACGUGCUCGCAGUGACCUCGCGAAGGAGUCCUGAAGUGUGCGGGCAGGAAGAGGGCAACUGGGAAAUCGUGAGAGCCCUUACGGCUGCUGGGUGCCUCAGGGCGGCGUUGGGAAGAACGCGGCGUGAGUUUUCUUCCAGAUGCACCAUCAGCCAUUUCCAGCACACCAUAAGAGCCCCGUGGCUCCCACGGCCUCCUUGGGCAACCUGUGUUCACCGCACGGCUUCUGUGGGA
rnacentral:lncRNA from 1 species